rnacentral:tRNA from 1 species
UUAAUGUAGCUUAACAUAAAGCAAUGCACUGAAAAUGCUUAGAUGGGUAAUUAUACCCCAUAAACA